UCUGGUGGCACAGCUGGUGUG
rnacentral:snRNA from 1 species